GACACAUAUUUAUUUUAGUACGAGUACGAGAGUAUGUGGGCUUUGGGCUUGGGCUUGGGUUCGCCUCUUGCCUCAAUUGAUACGCAGCACGCAUUUGUUUCAAUUAAAUGAAAAUGCUUUCAGUGGCAGGGGCAGGAAGAGAGCAGUUCCACCGCAUGAUGGAUCGCCGGGGGAGAGUAAAGAAGCUAAUCAAAUGAGUGAAAGAAAAUCCUGCCUCCCAUUCUUGAGUGUCAUGACAAACACCUGCCGACUUCCGGCUGACUGAUGAUUAGGAUACCUUUCGUAUAUCCCCUGGAAAGGAGUACCACCCGCUGAAUUAAGUUAAAAUGUUAAUAAACAUGAUUAUCGUGUUUGCCAGCCGCUCUGCCUGUUGCCAUUAAAAUGAUUAUGGCAAUAAAUAAUAAAGUGUGUGUGUUUUUCGGGCCAGAUACGAAAGGUAUUUCGGGCGAAAGUAUCUUCUCUGGCAGCACUUUGAUGUGGUCCAUAAUGAGGCAGCCACGUGGCAUUAUGCAUAAUGAGUGGCAGGUCUUUUAGGGAAAUUACUUGACAGCAAGAACUUGAAAAGAUUCAAGAAUACCCAUCGGAAACAUCGCAAGAAAUACCAAUAAAAUACCAAAGCCAAAGAG